AGAAUAAUUCACAAUGGGGGCAACCCUGAUGGUGCAACGCCGCGUGGAGGAUGAAGGUCUUAGGAUUGUAAACUCCUGUCAUCUGGGAGAAAGACCUGGUCGUUAAUAGCGGACAGGGUUGAUAGUACCAGAAGCGGAAGGGACGGCUAACUUCGUGCCAGCAGCCGCGGUAAUACGAAGGUCCCGAGCGUUGUGCGGAAUCACUGGGCGUAAAGGGAGCGUAGGCGGCGCGGUAAGUCAGAUGUGAAAUCCCGGGGCUCAACCCCGGAACUGCAUCCGAUACUGCCGUGCUAGAGCAAUGGAGGGGUAGCUGGAAUUCUCGGUGUAGCAGUGAAAUGCGUAGAUAUCGAGAGGAACACUCGUGGCGAAAGCGAGCUACUGGACAUUUGCUGACGCUGAGGCUCGAAGGCUAGGGGAGCG
rnacentral:rRNA from 1 species